rnacentral:rRNA from 1 species
UUAAGCGACUAAGCGUACACGGUGGAUGCCCUGGCAGUCAGAGGCGAUGAAGGACGUGCUAAUCUGCGAUAAGCGCCGGUAAGGUGAUAUGAACCGUUAUAACCGGCGAUUUCCGAAUGGGGAAACCCAGUGUGAUUCGUCACACUAUCAUUAACUGAAUCCAUAGGUUAAUGAGGCGAACCGGGGGAACUGAAACAUCUAAGUACCCCGAGGAAAAGAAAUCAACCGAGAUUCCCCCAGUAGCGGCGAGCGAACGGGGAGGAGCCCAGAGCCUGAAUCAGCAUGUGUGUUAGUGGAAGCGUCUGGAAAGGCGCGCGAUACAGGGUGACAGCCCCGUACACAAAAGCGCAUGUGCUGUGAGCUCGAUGAGUAGGGCGGGACACGUGGUAUCCUGUCUGAAUAUGGGGGGACCAUCCUCCAAGGCUAAAUACUCCUGACUGACCGAUAGUGAACCAGUACCGUGAGGGAAAGGCGAAAAGAACCCCGGCGAGGGGAGUGAAAAAGAACCUGAAACCGUGUACGUACAAGCAGUGGGAGCACAGGUUUACCUGUGUGACUGCGUACCUUUUGUAUAAUGGGUCAGCGACUUAUAUUCUGUAGCAAGGUUAACCGAAUAGGGGAGCCGGAGGGAAACCGAGUCUUAAUUGGGCGUUAAGUUGCAGGGUAUAGACCCGAAACCCGGUGAUCUAGCCAUGGGCAGGUUGAAGGUUGGGUAACACUAACUGGAGGACCGAACCGACUAAUGUUGAAAAAUUAGCGGAUGACCUGUGGCUGGGGGUGAAAGGCCAAUCAAACCGGGAGAUAGCUGGUUCUCCCCGAAAGCUAUUUAGGUAGCGCCUCGUGAAUUCAUCUCCGGGGGUAGAGCACUGUUUCGGCUAGGGGGCCAUCCCGGCUUACCAACCCGAUGCAAACUGCGAAUACCGGAGAAUGUUAUCACGGGAGACACACGGCGGGUGCUAACGUCCGUCGUGAAGAGGGAAACAACCCAGACCGCCAGCUAAGGUCCCAAAGUCAUGGUUAAGUGGGAAACGAUGUGGGAAGGCCCAGACAGCCAGGAUGUUGGCUUAGAAGCAGCCAUCAUUUAAAGAAAGCGUAAUAGCUCACUGGUCGAGUCGGCCUGCGCGGAAGAUGUAACGGGGCUAAACCAUGCACCGAA